UACGAAGGGGGCUAGCGUUGCUCGGAAUGACUGGGCGUAAAGGGCGCGUAGGCGGCUUACAUAGUUAGGCGUGAAAUUCCUGGGCUCAACCUGGGGACUGCGUCUAAUACAUGUAGGCUUGAGUGUGAAAGAGGGUUGUGGAAUUUCCAGUGUAGAGGUGAAAUUCGUAGAUAUUGGAAAGAACACCGGUGGCGAAGGCGGCGACCUGGUUCAUUACUGACGCUGAGGUACGAAAGCUAGGGGAGCGAAUGGG
rnacentral:rRNA from 1 species